rnacentral:rRNA from 1 species
UAACCUGCCCAAGAGAUCGGGAUAACACCUGGAAACAGAUGCUAAUACCGGAUAAUAACAGAUGAUGCCUAUCAACUGUUUAAAAGAUGGUUCUGCUAUCACUCUUGGAUGGACCUGCGGUGCAUUAGCUAGUUAGUAGGGUAACGGCCUACCAAGGCGAUGAUGCAUAGCCGAGUUGAGAGACUGAUCGGCCACAUUGGGACUGAGACACGGCCCAAACUCCUACGGGAGGCAGCAGCA